CCUCCUCUUCCUUCGGCCUCCUCUCCUCCUUCUCCUCCUCCUCUUCCUCCUUCUUCUCCUCCUCCUCCUCCUCUUCCUCCUCCUCUUUCCCCACCUCCUCCCCCUCUGCCACCGCCUCCUCCUUCACCACCACCACUCCCUCCGGGGCACCCCGGUCCCUGCAGAGUCCCCGGCCCGCGCCGCCUCGGAUGCGGCCCCCUGGAUCCCGAGCUGGUGGGACAGACGGACGGACGGACACGCAGAUUCCCUCGCGCCUAGCUCUCGGCCGCUGCUGGCCCCCGUGGCCCCGCGUCCGCGAAGCUGGGAUCGCCGCCCGGAGCACCGCGAGGGUAAGCAGGCAGGGGUGGAGGGCCAGGAGGCGAGGGCUAACCGAGCGGUUCGGUUGCAUCGGUCCCCACCCCCAGCAGAACUCCCGGCUGUUUCCCAGUAAAACCCUGAGCUCUGCGAGACCGAGCCCACCUCUCAUCUGGGGCCAAUCGCCAGCCUUGAGGAAAGGUUUUUGCGGACCUCGGAGGGGCGGAGGACUGCAGCGCUUGCAGUCUCCAGGCCUGGCUGCAUGGUGCGACGUCUGAACACGCACAGGAUGCCAAGCCUUCCAGAUGAAGAAUGGAUCACAGUGCCAACCAUGUGGUCGUGGAUCUCCCCCAGAUGGGCUUUGGUGCAUCUCGCCCAUCUGUAAUAUUUCCUCCAUCCAGAUGUGAAAGCCAAGACUCUGAAAUAAAGGGAUUCGCCCUAAGGUCACACACACACAAAGCGAGUAAAUGAAGACGUCUGGAUUCCAACCCAGAGAGAUAUAUACACAUAGAUGAAAUGAAGCCAAAACAUAAAAGAUGGAAUUAAAACAUGAUGCCCUGGCUCUGAAAUCUUGCCUCUCCCCACCCUACCUGCAGUUUACAGUGAAACCUUUUUUAAGAGCAUCAUGGGACGUUGGAUAGAAAUCCUUGAUCUCCUAGUUCUGAGGCACAUGUAAUUAUUUCACAGGUGUUCACUUGGCAAGAGACUCCUAAUCCAGAAACCCUUCCAGCACGGGGAUAAGUUUUUCUAAGCAGCAAAUGACUACAAACACAUCUGCAUUGACAAGUCACAACUUACAUCCUUCUACGGUGUUUCUGCUCUUUUGAAAAUGUUAAUAAAAACUUAAUGUGGAAAAAAAACAA